rnacentral:rRNA from 1 species
UACGUAGGGCGCAAGCGUUGUCCGGAAUUAUUGGGCGUAAAGAGCUCGUAGGCGGCCUGUUACGUCUGCUGUGAAAUCCCGGGGGCUUAACCCCGGGCGUGCAGUGGAUACGGGCAGGCUGGAGGCAGGCAGGGGAGAACGGAAUUCCCGGUGUAGCGGUGAAAUGCGCAGAUAUCGGGAGGAACACCUGUGGCGAAAGCGGCUCACUGGACCACAACUGACGCUGAGGCGCGAAAGCUAGGGGAGCAAACAGGG